rnacentral:rRNA from 1 species
UGGGGAAUAUUGCACAAUGGGCGAAAGCCUGAUGCAGCAACGCCGCGUGAGUGAUGAAGGCCUUCGGGUUGUAAAGCUCUGUCUUUUGGGACGAUAAUGACGGUACCAAAGGAGGAAGCCACGGCUAACUACGUGCCAGCAGCCGCGGUAAUACGUAGGUGGCAAGCGUUGUCCGGAUUUACUGGGCGUAAAGGAUGCGUAGGCGGAUUUUUAAGUGAGAUGUGAAAUACCCGGGCUUAACUUGGGUGCUGCAUUUCAAACUGGGAAUCUAGAGUGCGGGAGAGGAGAAUGGAAUUCCUAGUGUAGCGGUGAAAUGCGUAGAGAUUAGGAAGAACACCAGUGGCGAAGGCGAUUCUCUGGACCGUAACUGACGCUGAGGCAUGAAAGCGUGGGUAGCAAACAGGAUUAGAUACCCUGGUAGUCCACGCCGUAAACGAUGUUAGUACUAGGUGUAGGAGGUAUCGACCCCUUCUGUGCCGCAGUUAACACAAUCAAGUACUCCGCCUGGGAAGUACGAUCGCAAGAUUAAAACUU